UACGAAGGGGGCUAGCGUUGCUCGGAAUGACUGGGCGUAAAGGGCGCGUAGGCGGUUCGUACAGUCGGGCGUGAAAUUCCUGGGCUUAACCUGGGGGCUGCGUUCGAUACGUGCGGACUAGAGUGGGGAAGAGGGUCGUGGAAUUCCCAGUGUAGAGGUGAAAUUCGUAGAUAUUGGGAAGAACACCGGUGGCGAAGGCGGUCUG
rnacentral:rRNA from 1 species